rnacentral:rRNA from 1 species
GUGGGGGAUAUUGCACAAUGGGCGAAAGCCUGAUGCAGCGACGCCGCGUGAGUGAAGAAGUAUUUCGGUAUGUAAAGCUCUAUCAGCAGGGAAGAAAGGCUCGUAAGAGAGAUGACGGUACCUGACUAAGAAGCCCCGGCUAACUACGUGCCAGCAGCCGCGGUAAUACGUAGGGGGCAAGCGUUAUCCGGAUUUACUGGGUGUAAAGGGAGCGCAGACGGCUAUGCAAGUCUGAAGUGAAACCCCACGGCUCAACCGUGGGCUUGCUUUGGAAACUGUAUAGCUAGAGUACUGGAGAGGUAAGCGGAAUUCCUAGUGUAGCGGUGAAAUGCGUAGAUAUUAGGAGGAACAUCGGUGGCGAAGGCGGCUUACUGGACAGCAACUGACGUUGAGGCUCGAAGGCGUGGGGAGCAAACAGG